rnacentral:sRNA from 1 species
UCAUGUACGCGACUGGAUGCUGGCGUCCUU